rnacentral:lncRNA from 1 species
UAGGGUAACAAUAGUAUUGUAGAUUCGAAUGAAGGACAAAAUGUUGAAACUAUAUUGGAUUUCACUGUUGGACUGAAUGCGUAGGACCAUUAUUCUAGUCACUAAUUUAGUCGUUGGUUUACUAUCAUGUUGAUUAAUGGCUAUAAAGUUCCAGUAUAGGGUACUACUUGUUUCCUAUGAAAUCCCCUUUGUAAUGCUCGUCUACCACUGUCAAAUUCUAGUAUAGGGUAAUAACACUCCUAGUUCCCUAUGAAAUCCUAUUUCUAAUGCAUAC